GCAAGUCGAGCGAAGCAGUUAAGUUGAUUUCUUCGGAUUGAUUCUUAACUGACUGAGCGGCGGACGGGUGAGUAACGCGUGGGUGACCUGCCCCAUACCGGGGGAUAACAGCUGGAAACGGCUGCUAAUACCGCAUAAGCGCACAGAGCUGCAUGGCUCGGUGUGAAAAACUCCGGUGGUAUGGGAUGGGCCCGCGUCUGAUUAGGCAGUUGGCGGGGUAACGGCCCACCAAACCGACGAUCAGUAGCCGGCCUGAGAGGGCGACCGGCCACAUUGGGACUGAGACACGGCCCAAACUCCUACGGGAGGCAGCAGUGGGGAAUAUUGCACAAUGGGGGAAACCCUGAUGCAGCGACGCCGCGUGAGCGAAGAAGUAUUUCGGUAUGUAAAGCUCUAUCAGCAGGGAAGAUAAUGACGGUACCUGACUAAGAAGCCCCGGCUAACUACGUGCCAGCAGCCGCGGUAAUACGUAGGGGGCAAGCGUUAUCCGGAUUUACUGGGUGUAAAGGGAGCGUAGACGGCAAGGCAAGUCUGAUGUGAAAAC
rnacentral:rRNA from 1 species